rnacentral:rRNA from 1 species
GAUGAACGCUGGCGGCGUGCCUAAUACAUGCAAGUCGAGCGAACAGACGAGGAGCUUGCUCCUCUGACGUUAGCGGCGGACGGGUGAGUAACACGUGGAUAACCUACCUAUAAUACUGGGAUAACUUCGGGAAACCGGAGCUAAUACCGGAUAAUAUAUUGAACCGCAGGGUUCAAUAGUGAAAGACGGUUUUGCUGUCACUUAUAGAUGGAUCCGCGCUGCCUUAGCUAGUUGGUAAGGUAACGGCUUACCAAGGCAACGAUGCGUAGCCGACCUGAGAGGGUGAUCGGCCACACUGGAACUGAGACACGGUCCAGACUCCUACGGGAGGCAGCAGUAGGGAAUCUUGCGCAAUGGGCGAAAGCCUGACGGAGCAACGCCGCGUGAGUGAUGAAGGUCUUCGGAUCGUAAAACUCUGUUAUUAGGGAAGAACAAAUGUAUAAGUAACUAUGCACGUCUUGACGGUACCUAAUCAGAAAGCCACGGCUAACUACGUG